CAUUUACUAACCUAUAACUCUUCUUUAUGUAGACCAGCUGGCUUUGAACUCAGGGAGAUCUGCCUCCUUUGGCCUCUGGAGUGCUGGCGUCUUAAAGUCUCCACUCUCUCCUAGCACAGUCAAUCUGAGGACCAAACCUCAACCCAUGGGCCUUGGGGGGCAUUCCAGAUUGAAUUCUUGCAGUAGGCUUUUGUCAUUUGUUCGUUUGGUGGUUUGUUUGUUUUGGGUUUGUUUCUGUGGUUCCCCAAGAAGCUUGGGAUGGGAAAUGGUCUAAGCAAGUCUUGCUGCAAAGUGAGCCUCUUACAGAAGGAAACAGCAUCUACUCUCCUUGCUGCCAUUGUGUAUCAGCUGUCAUCAGGCUUCUACUGAAAUGCGUCAGCAAGGAACAGUUCUACCGUGGUCACAGUCAAGCCUGGUUGCUAUGGAGCUAUCUGAUGGACAGCUGGAGAGAGGCGUCAUCUGCCAGGAUUCUAGAAUCACCACAGCAGGGAUGUACUGAUGUUCAGAACCAACAGGAGAGUGUGGACAUCAAAGGUCAUCUUCAUCUUCCGCCAGUUUUUGGAAGGAGGCCGGGAAGUUGUGAUGAAGUUGCUAUGAAGACUGUUGUUAAUCUGAGGAAGAUGGCUGCGUGGCUAGAAUGAAGCCCUUUGAGAUCCUGCAACUCACAUUACUUCAACAGCUAUGGACUUAGUCUUCCCGAGGAACUUGCUCUUAUCACCCGUGUCUGAACCUGCCCCGAUGUUAUUGUCUGCUAGAGAGAACCUUGGAACUUUCCAUCACACCCCUCUAAUCCACCAGAUAGUGACCAUAGUCCCCAGAGGGUGAUUAGAGUCUUUGCUGUCCAGAAGUGUCCCUUAGAUGUCUUUUCAAAGCUCCGAUGAGCAGCUGACAGGUGGAACAAUAGAAUCAGGAUUUGGAGGGUGGGUCCCAAGUUCAGGGGUGCUCAAAACUCCCUCCUGACUCUGAUUGACACUGCCAAGGAUGAAGGCUGGCCUGGGGUUAUGAGUGUAUCCUGACUACUACUUGCACUUGACUUUGUGCUGCUGGUCAGUUUCUUCCCCCCCCCCCCCCGCAUCCUCCACCUCAGUUUCUUCAUAUGUGAAAUGGGAACAGGAGUGCUACUACCGUACAGUGUGAGAAAUAGGUG
rnacentral:lncRNA from 1 species